UUGACCUGGCCACCUCUCUCUGCCUCUUUCUCUGAAGUGUAAAUUCAUCCGUUCCAACUUCUCUCUCUCUCUUCUAUAUAAAUCGUGCUAUAUGAUUUUCUCGCACGUUAUCUCAUAUCUCUCUCUGUGUUCGACUGUCCGUAGAUGGAGAAGCCUAUGUUAUUCUGAAUGAGUGAAUAGUGAUCUCUCUCAUCACUUCAUCAGUCGUCUAUAUGCUCCUUCUUCCUUACGUUGACAGUCAAUAUGUUGCAUAUGUCUGCAUUUGCACCUGCACUGCACCCAAGUUUUCUCUGUGUGCUCAUUUCUCUCUAAAAAACAGACCAGAUAAAGAAAAGAACAAGCACCUGAAGGCGGUGUCGAUGCAGGUGCAGGUCCAGACGAAUGCCAUCUUGCCUCUCUCUCUCUCUCUCUCUCUCAACAUUUCAUGAAUCUUAAGGUGAUAAGACUCUGCCUGAGUCUGUCUGUGUGUGGGGACCGGCCGGGAGAGAGGUAAUGGGAGACCGUAAAAGCUCCAUUUGUCUUUUAAUAUGAAGAGGAAAUGCUUGUUUUCCCCAUAUUUUGAUUGUGAGUUUGAGGCUACAGAUUAUGUACAACUUUGAGUCGUUUAUGAAUGUGGGCUGCUUGAAGCAGGAUCUUCUCCUCACAAAUGGGCGCCUCACAGGCACAUCACCGUGCAUUGGUAACAUCUCUCGUGAAUAAUGACUAAUAAAUACGGGAGAUGUUCCCAAGGAUAUGCGUGUGAAGCGCCUGUGAGGAGCAGAUCCGGUCUCGCGCUGCUUACCCAAAAGGAUGUGGCGAGGCUAAGGCUUCUCUCAUCUCAUCUCAGGUAUGGCGAGACAUGAUCCAAGUCCGUGGGGUUGGACCGUGGGAGCAUGUAGGGUUGUCACUCGACACAGGUUCUUAAUGCGUAAUUUAUGAAGGAGGGGUCAUAUCAAGUGAGGUGGGCUGGUUAUAAGUUCAUUCAGAACAAUGUGGCUAAAAGCAUCUGUUUGGUGCUUGAAUCCAUCAUCAACCUGGAGGUGGGAACAUAUCAUUGCAAAUUAUUUGGCACACUGCUUGAGGCCCUUGUUUUUUGAAUUGAUAUCACUCUUUCUCAGGAUUUUAUUGUUACAGUAUGAACUUCCGAAGAUUUAUGUAUUGCACACCACUCUUUAUGUCCAGGAGCUAGGAGGUUCAAAUUUAUUGUUGGAUAUAUAUAUAUAUAUAUGAUUACAAUAAGAUAGUAAAAUGUAUGAUAAUCAGAUUGGAUGCCUUUGAGGCAUAACUUACCUAGUGCAAGGGAAAACGAUUGUGCUUGAUAUGUAUCUUGACUAGCCACAUGCUUGCAUGGCUGUGUGGCUUUACAAUUUUGUAACGACAUGGAGUUUUUUCAGUCAAGGCUCAACUCAGAGGAACAGGUGCAUAAACCAAUGCCUACCCAACUACCAGUUAUAGACACUAAUGGGGAGACUAGAGUUGCCUAAAAGGUCAAUGCUUAUCUGUAAACUGCAUUAGAAGCAGAGCUGAUGGUGAACACUGAACAGAGCUUCUGGGGAUGACAACAUAAUCUUCGCAUCAGACUUUCUUGAUAGCAAUAUCAUCUCCACAGAAGGACAAUGUUGCAUGGCAGUCUCCCCCGGCGAAGCUGAGCUCUGGGCAAUCAUCCGAGGUCUGAGGGUGCUGAUCUCAAAGAAAAUUCAAACUGCUAUACUCUUUUCUGAUGCAAAGGAAGUUUUAGAGGAAGUUAAGAGGAACCAAAAGAAAUACCAGUUGGAAUCAACAGCUGAUAGAGCACAUCAGAUAUUUACUUACACUUGUUGAUAAUAUUUUGUUAGUCCAUGCCUGUAGAACUGAUACUUCAGCAGCUCAUGUAAUGGCAAGAAAAGCCAGGCUUACUAGAUCUUUUGUUUCCUUUUGUAACCCCCGCUUUAUAUCUCUAGACUAGUGCCAUCAUGUAUCAGGGGUAUAGUAUGUAUCUUUGAUGUUUUUAGUGGUUCCUCUUUGAUUAAAAAAAACACAAAAAAACAUGGUCCAACAUACAAGAUUUGGAAAUAUGCCGACAACAAAAAAUUUUUCCUACAUGCCCACAAUGAAAACACUGUGAAGUCCCCUACUAAUAUACUUAAAUAUUACAAUAUGCCCACAAUCAUAACAGAUCUGUUUAAUAUACUCAACAAAAUGAAAACACUGUAGGAAUUCCCGUAUCUUUAUUCUUAGAGCCAAAAUAGUAGAUUUGGAAUCAAAUAUGAUGAUGCACAAUCUGGCUGGUCUUAGCUGUCAAUGAUCUUGCCUCUGAACUGAGU